UGUGGCUCAAAGGAGUAGAGCACUGGCCUCAUGUGCCGGAUGUGGCAGGUUCAAACCCAGCCA
rnacentral:tRNA from 1 species